rnacentral:lncRNA from 1 species
CGCGUGAUGGGAGAGCACACUUUCUUUAUCCCUCUCAGGAAAACAGCUGAAAAACUCCUUCACACUAAGGGGUAAAUGACAGACGACCCAACUGGUGACCCUUUCCCGGGCUGUCUGUUUUAACAAUGGCAAAGUGUUAAGCUAAAGAAGUGAGGCAAUAAUGGUGGAAUUUCAGGCAUCAUCAGGAUGAGUCUGGGCAGAGAAUUCUGCCAGUCACUCUCCGCCCGGGCUGAGGAGGGCAGAGGCUUGGGCUGGAUUUCGGAAGCCCAGGCCAGGAAGUGCUCUGCCCGCCCAUCAGUCAACAUCCACAGAGCGCUCGGGACUCUGUGCCAGCCAUACAGAAGUAACUGUGGCUCCUCAAGACUCCCAUUCCAAGACAGCACAUGCCGGAGAAUUGAACACAACCCCCUCUUGCUGCAGUUAAUGGUGAAUGCACCUCUUUGCAAGGUGGGCAAAGAAACUGGCCUCCAGGCUGCAAGGACCACCCCCCCCAACCCCGGACCAUUCAGAGGCAAGAGUUUACGCCAAGGAUUCAGUGACCUCUGUUCUCUGGUCAGUAAUUAACCAGGCCUCAUCUGGACAGUGACGAGUAUGCUGGGUCCAUUAGCAGGGAGCACGCUGUGUAUACCACUCAUCUGGGGAUCACCCCCAACUGUUUGCUCCAGGAAACAAGUCUGGACAGCCUGGCUCCCAUCUCCAGUUUGCAGAUGAAACAAAAAUGUGAUCCUUGGCAGUGACCAGCAUUCUGCUUCCUCCCAGUGGGCAGGAAGGAUGUUUCUUGUGGCCCAGUUGGAAUCUACACUCAGCAUGAGUGCAUCCACAAAGUCGUCAAAAUGGGAAAACACUCCCAAUCUGGGCUUCUACAGAGCUGAGGGGCAGAGAGGAUGCAGGCCACACGUAUUCCGAAUGGACAUAACACGCAAAGAAAGCCCGCUGGCCCGCACCUGGUCCCUUCGGGGAAAUCAGAGGCAGCUGGCAGGCUGGACAGUAAGGAGAGGUUGGCUGGGGCCGGGGAUGCCAGGCUCAGUGAGUGCCUGGCUUGAGUCUACAAGUAGGAGGAGGCCAGGAACCGUAUCUGAGAAGGUAGGACCAGACCCAGUGAAGAAAGCUGAGACACUACUGUUCGGAAGGAGCCAAGAGCUUGGUUUAUUGUGCCAGAAAUAAAGGGUCUAGGUGGCUGCCAAGACCAUCAUCCAUCAUCGGAGGACACCGCUCCAGGGAAACUCGCUCCCCACUUCCUGAAUCUCUGUGGACAACAGAGCGUAAAUGUCAACGGUGCCUCCUGCUGGACAGCCCCAGCAUUACACUAUCUCCACCCGAGAGGUCAGAAACAGCAAGUUCUAGAAUGUUCCAGCUGGAAUAACACAGUUCAACAACUAUGACUGCUGCUGUUUUCUACUGAUUAAGAGCUCACUGUGUCUCAGGUACUAUGCUCAGUAUUUUUCUUGGAUUAUCUCAUUUAAUUUUCAUAACAACCCCUAUGAGAUAGGAACUAUUAUUAACCCAAUUUUUCAGGUGAGGAAACAAGCAGGGAAGACAAAUGAUUUCUUCUGAGGUCUCAAGUUACUUUGUAGCAAAAUUGCUUUCCAGCCCAGGUCUCUCUGACUCAAAAGCCCAUGGUUUUAACUACAUUCUUGUCCAUCAAGUCCAAGGAUGGUGCAGAGCUUUCAUCUUCGCAUCACCUCACUUGGUUGGCAGUGGCUCUGCCUAGAGCUCUGGGUUGAGAAGGAUUCUGAGUGCCAUGAUGAACUGGAUGAUGUUUGCCAGGGGUGCUGGCAGGGAUGUGACAGCGUGUGUGUCAGGUAUGUUUUCAUCUCUGAUCUAGUCCAACCUACUGUCUAGUGUGACCUUUACUGUACCCCGAGAAAGGGAUCAAGGCUCAGCCCCUGACCUCUGUCUUCACUCAUUCCCACAGUGACCUGAAGGCAUCUCAAACUUCUCAUGUCCGAAUAUGAACUCUUGAUCUGCACCUCUCAAGCCGUCCUCCUGCCAUCUUCCCCAUCUAAGCACAGGCGGCACUGGUCCCCGUUUGCUCAAGCCAAAAGCCUCAGUCUCCUCCUUGAUUCUCUUCCUCUCAUACCCCACAUCCAGUCUUUCAAUAAAUCUCAUUGGUUCUACA